AGGUUUGUACGUUAAAUUUCUCAUUCUAGUGUUUAAUCAUGUUUAGGUUUGCAAUUUUUUUUUUUUAUCAUUCCUUUUAAUUUGGGCCUCAAUUCUUGUUUAUCCAAUUCUGGAAUCAAAAUGGUUCCUUUUCGUUUCUUUAAUGAUUUGUUCGUUUGCUUGGUUGCUGGGAGAGGGGGAGGAAUCAAUGAUAGGAUUUUUUAUUUGAAGGGGAAACGUUUGGUGAUGGAUUUGGGUUCUCAAUUUUCUUUUGUUGUUUUUACUUAAGCUUUCUCGGCAACCGAACAAGCUUUUAAUUUUAUAUUGAUAGGGAUCCAAUAAGCAAUGCUUAAUUUUGAAUUUUUUUUUAAUUAUUUUCACUUAAUUUUGAAUUUUUUUUUAAUUAUUUUCA
rnacentral:misc_RNA from 1 species